rnacentral:rRNA from 1 species
UACGAAGGGGGCUAGCGUUGCUCGGAAUCACUGGGCGUAAAGCGCACGUAGGCGGAUCUUUAAGUCAGGGGUGAAAUCCUGGAGCUCAACUCCAGAACUGCCUUUGAUACUGGGGAUCUCGAGUCCGGGAGAGGUGAGUGGAACUGCGAGUGUAGAGGUGAAAUUCGUAGAUAUUCGCAAGAACACCAGUGGCGAAGGCGGCUCACUGGCCCGGUACUGACGCUGAGGUGCGAAAGCGUGGGGAGCAACAGG